rnacentral:rRNA from 1 species
UACAGAGGGUGCAAGCGUUAAUCGGAAUUACUGGGCGUAAAGCGUGCGUAGUCGGUUAUUUAAGUCGGAUGUGAAAUCCCCGGGCUCAACCUGGGAAUUGCAUUCGAUACUGGAUAGCUAGAGUUCGGCAGAGGGAAGCGGAAUUUCUGGUGUAGCGGUGAAAUGCGCAGAUAUCAGGAGGAACACCAAUGGCGAAGGCAGCUCGCUGGGACGGUACUGACGCUGAGACGCGAAAGCGUGGGGAGCAAACAGG